GGACGACCGCUGGCGGCGUGCUUACCACAUGCAAGUCGAACGGAAAGGCCCUGCUUUUGUGGGGUGCUCGAGUGGCGAACGGGUGAGUAACACGUGAGUAACCUGCCCUUGACUUUGGGAUAACUUCAGGAAACUGGGGCUAAUACCGGAUAGGAGCUCCUGCUGCAUGGUGGGGGUUGGAAAGUUUCGGCGGUUGGGGAUGGACUCGCGGCUUAUCAGCUUGUUGGUGGGGUAGUGGCUUACCAAGGCUUUGACGGGUAGCCGGCCUGAGAGGGUGACCGGCCACAUUGGGACUGAGAUACGGCCCAGACUCCUACGGGAGGCAGCAGUGGGGAAUAUUGCACAAUGGGCGGAAGCCUGAUGCAGCAACGCCGCGUGCGGGAUGACGGCCUUCGGGUUGUAAACCGCUUUCGCCUGUGACGAAGCGUGAGUGACGGUAAUGGGUAAAGAAGCACCGGCUAACUACGUG
rnacentral:rRNA from 1 species